GAGGAGGUGCAGCAUGAGGUAAUACAGUAGGGGGAGUGCUGCUCAGUGUGAGGUAAUACAGUAGGGGGAGUGCUGCUCAGCGUGAGGUAAUACAGUAGGGGGAGUGCUGCUCAGCGUGAGGUAAUACAGUAGGGGGAGUGCUGCUCAGCGUGAGGUAAUACAGUAGGGGGAGUGCUGCUCAGCGUGAGGUAAUACAGUAGGGGAGUGCUGCUCAGUGUGAGGUAAUACAGUAGGGGGAGUGCUGCUCAGUGUGAGGUAAUACAGUAGGGGGGAGGGCUUCUCAAAUGGAAUGUUUUAUGCGUACUCAAGAGAAUGUCCUCGGGAAAAUGCACUAGAAGCAUGAGAGUGUGGAACACGGUAAUAUGCAUAUUGAGAAACACCCAGUGACUCAGGGGAGCACGGUAAUAUGCAUAUUGAGAAACACCCAGUGACUCAGGGGAGCACGGUAAUAUGCAUAUUGAGAAACACCCAGUGACUCAGGGGAGCACGGUA
ensembl:lncRNA